UCCAAGGAGAAAGGCAAGGCAGCCUCUGGCAUUUUGGCAUUCCUUGUCUCAGCCCUCAUUAAGCCUGAAUACUAUUUACAAUAGUAUUUAAAUUCUGAUUGACUAUAUUGUGACCAAUCUAAGCUUGCUCAGUUUUGCACCUAGAUUCCAGAAUGGGUUGAAUUACUCCAUGGCCACUGUUUUCUGAGCAGGGUUAAUAUGAAAUGUAGCUGUCAAAGCCAUGAAUGACUGGAUCACACCAGCCCCUGUUCCCUUAUAGUUCUCCCACCCUAUAUUCUCAGUUCUCUUAGGGGGCACCAAGACAUUUAGACAGCUGCAUCCCAGUGGAAGGGAGGGACUGACUUUUAGCUCUGCAAAAUCUGUUCUCUCAGGUCCACACAUGCUGGAGAAGACCGAGGAGAUUCAGCCCAGCUGAUUAGUUUUGCUUAAGGUCACACAACACAACUCAGUCUUGAGUAAAUGUGGAUUCGUCGCACACACAUCUGAAUUUAUGGGCUGCAGGAAGGUGGGAUGGGGCUGUCCAAAGAGACAAGGCUGGCAGACUCCUGUGUGACAAAGCCUGUUCAUAGCAGGAAGAGUUGGUAGCCUGCGGAAAACAUCUUCUGUCUCAGAAAACCAGGGGAAUGCACACAAUUUUUACUCUUGCCCAGGUUCCACUAACUCUGGAAUGCAUCUAUGUACUGACCUUGAUUCACUCCUGCAGGACAGGAAUUCAGUUCUGUCAGUGGAGUGCCAGGAGCCCAAAGUGUGUUUCUCCACCCUACGGCAUCUCAAAGUGAUGAAGGCAACACAGGAAAAAUAAGGUAAUAUGAAACACUCUGCAGAAAUGAAAGCUGAUGGUGUGAAUGUACCAAGUGGUAAGGCAGAGUCUGAGGUAUUUAGAUAUGGUUCCAUCAAUCACAAGAUGGCAUUUGAGUCUGAGAUGCAAAGACAUCUGCAAACCCCCUAUACAUUUGGAAAAACAGAAUCUAGGCAAAACAGGUGUGCAUAAAACCAUGGGAUUUUUUUCCAAGCUUAAUUUAUGAGUUCAGAUUUUAGUAAUUUCUGUACAUCAUUUAGGAGAAGGGACUUUGGGGGCUCUGAUCAUGCCUUACUGAGAUAAGGAAUGGGCAAAUGAAUAAAUGCAAAGGAAGAAAUGUUUCACAAGAGGCUCCUGCAUUCAUAAGCACUGCUUUGUAGCUGCAGAAUUAUUUCUGUGACCUAAAAGGAGAAUGCAUUAUUAUGAGAGGAAGAUACCUCUCCUCAGAUGCUCUGUUCCCUGUGUGAAAGUAAAGAUGCAUGAGUAAGUAACAAUGCAUAAGCAGAGGGAUGGAAGACUGACUGAUGCUGGAGCUGGAAAUCUGUACUGGUACUCAGCACUGCUCCAUUGCUUUUACUGGUACAUAAACAUAUGAUUAGCACUUAUGCCUGUCAGCACUCCCAUCACAUUCAUCAGAACCACCACUGUUUCCUGUUCAGUAGAAGCUUAAAUGCUCUGUUGUCACAAGCUGAGAAAAUCAGAACUUUGUUCCAUGCAGGUGAAACAACACUGCCUUGCUCAGCCCACUGAGCCUCACACCAUCACUUGCAAGAGACAGAUCUUGGUAUAACAACAGAAGAACAAGUGCUUUCAAAGACAGACUUCAGCCAGUGCGUGAGUCAGAAAACUAACUUGUCACAUAAUGAUAUGAAAAUGUGGGGUAAAAAGUUGAGAGCGUCCCUCCAUGAAGCUUACGGCAGUGUCUGAGUCACCACAGGACAUGAGAAAGCUGCUGGCAAUGGCAUGCAAAGCAGGCUGGAGCUGAAUUCUCCUGUUAUGUAACUCCUACGUUAGCAUCUUCUCUGUUCCAUAUAUAAACCCAGAAAACAUUAAAAAGCUGUUGCUGAAAGCACUGCUUUUAUUUAUUCAUUUGUAUGAGCCAAAUGUGACUUAAAACAUUACAUAUUUUCCACACAAGCUUUAGUACAGGACCAGACACUUUCUUUGCUGGAAUUGAUGAGACCAUUUAUUUCUGGACUCAUUAAAAGGAUGUUUGCACCCCCUAGUGUAUAAGAAUUUGCAAGAAAGCAGGUUCUUCUAAUAGCAUUAGCUAAAUGAGGAUGUUUAGUAUUAAGCCAUAAUAAAAUCCCCCUGCUACAGUCUUAAGUAAUUUCAAGGGAAAGAAUCAUAAACUCAAAGAUCAUCUUAGGUGCAAUCUCUCAUGUCCCUGACCUCAACAACUGUAGGACCUGAAAAUGAGUUUUACUGAGUUGGAUUUUUAUCUCACUGGAAGAUAUCAGGGACUUACAGCUCAAAAAUGAGACUGUACUGAAACCAAAGAAUCAAAUCCAGACCUUCAGGGAUGGUCUGCAACUCAGGGAUGUUGCACCCAGCAUCAGCCCAUUAGUGAGAUAAUGUCUGAAGCUCUGCUUCACUGAAGGACAGAUUUCUUCGGAUUGAACUUUACUCCAGUUAACAGAAACUGUGAAAAUGAGAGGCAGGCACUUAAUUGCUCUCCAAGAACUACUGCCCAAAUUGUCACAGGCAUGCAGACCUCUCAAUUCAGACAAUGGCUCACAUCCUGCUGUUUGGAGAUAGAUCUUAAAACACUUCUGAAAAAACUUCUUACAGCUGUGGAUUCCUUUCUCAUUCUUAAGAUGUGACUUCACUUAUGGUGUUAAACAAGGCAGACCCCGUCCCUGAGAUGAACCAACAGAACUUCCCUCGCUGGGACCCAAAGUGGCAGUUCAGCUCCCUGUGUCCAGUGUGAGUCUGGAACCCGAGGAAAGCCCUGGUGCUCCUGGAACCAAACCAAACCCAAAUGCUGGCUCCUGGCUGUUGAGUGUGGAAAGGGAAUGGUUUAUGGGAGCACUUUCUGGUGGGACUUGCACUGACUUUUGAAGAUUCACUGUGUGACCCAGACCUCUGCAGUGUAGACUGGUAUGUGCUGCUUGCUGCCUGUCACUCGUGUGGGCAGGUUCUGAUCUGACCAAACUACACACAUGUGUUCUCAAGAAUUCCCCUGCUCAGCCCUGUGCUGAAAACAGGAUUUCACCAUUUCCCUUGAGGUGUCCAAAAGCCAGUCACUGCAGCCUUGGCAAGUGUCUGACAAUCAGAAAUAUGAUACUGCCAAGGAAAAAAAGCAGACUGUUUUCAUUAUCCAAGCAGAAUGAAAUGUAAAAAGCAAACAAACUGCAUAAAUGAUGAAAAUUAUAUUAGAUUUUUAGAUUUACUUUCAUUAUCUAAGUAGUUUCUAAUAAUAAAUGUAUUCCAAAAUAUGAGUUUCAGCCAGUGGUAUUUACUAUAUUAAAACCAGACUGAUUUUAUUUACUGUACUAUGCUUGUUAGCUCAUCCAAGCCACUUUAUUCUGUAAUUUAAAAUUAAUUCUUUGGGCUUUCUUUCAAAGAAAAGAAACUUGGCUUGUUGACAGAAUAAUCCUUAAUAAGUCACAACCAAGAAACUGCCAGGAGCUGUGAUGAUGACUUCUGUCAGAUAUUCUUUUCUUCCAGAGAAUGGAGUCAUCAUGAUAUUAAUGAAGAGUUCUUUGUGUCAUUUGUGUAAAUAAAUAACAGUAAUAAUGUAAUACAUAAAAAGAGCCAGAAUAUCACAGCUAAGGGUCCCCAAAGAAUUACAUUUUAAGGUUCAGGAGUACCAGUGUGAUAUAAAGCAGGAAAAUUGUAUAAUGAGAAUGAGUUUUAAAAAUUACAUGAACAAAAAGAAAAUUGUACUGGCAUGUGCAGGUGUCAAUUUUAAAAGCAGUUCUCCAACCCAUAUUUUGAAAAUUAAAUCGAUCUGCUUUUACUUGCAAAUGUCUUUCUUUUUUGUUUAAUUACAAGCCCAGAUCUUUCCUUAUAAAUUAAUUUCUUGUUGGAGCCUUUCUUUUUUACUGUCAUUACCAGAUACUCAGUACUGUGAUUUUUGUGGGACAAAAUUCCAGCUGGAAAAC